rnacentral:rRNA from 1 species
CCCGGCGCACGGGUGAGUAACGCGUAUGCAACUUACCUAUCAGAGGGGGAUAACCCGGCGAAAGUCGGACUAAUACCGCAUGAAGCAGGGAUCCCGCAUGGGAAUAUUCGCUAAAGAUUCAUCGCUGAUAGAUAGGCAUGCGUUCCAUUAGGCAGUUGGCGGGGUAACGGCCCACCAAACCGACGAUGGAUAGGGGUUCUGAGAGGAAGGUCCCCCACAUUGGUACUGAGACACGGACCAA